AAUGUUCCGACUCCUUAAAGGGCCGGGCCGCAGCUGAAGCGACCUUUCUAUUAUCGUGAUAAUGGAGGGCCGCCGCUGUCGUCUCAGGAGCCUGAGGUCCCCGAAGGCCGGGCCCCCGCUCCCCGGACCCGGCGUGGGGGGUGCGCCAACCCCGGAGGACCGGUCGCCGAAGCCUCAACGGUCUGGUUGAACAUCGCUGCCGCAGCCUGCCCUUAACGCGUGUCACCCUCCAUGUUCCAGGUGGCAGAUCCCUUGCAGCGCCUUCAAGCCGGGAGCGGCCUCCCACCCUGAGGUAGGACCCAGCCUGGGCAGGGUUUGUAACACCUAACUUUGUUUUUCAGUCUUUGUUAGUAAAUGCACUGGAGUCGGCUGCUACUUUACAGUUUUAUGCAUUGGGCAAUGCAUAAAAUUGCGUACAUAGCAUGGAGCCUCAAGUGGAAAUUGGAGGCGGCUACUCCUAACCUGGAACUAUUUCAGCCGCAGCUAUAGCCGGAGAUAAACUCCCAGUUAAAAUGCAGCGUCCUGGUUGGUUCCCAAGCAAUUGCGACUUAAUCCCAGGUCCUGUUCCAGGUUUCUGGAGCAGUACUGGGGAGCGGGGAGGUGUUGACUGCUCUGAUGAAAUCACUUAUAGGAAGUGCCGUCAGAAGCGAUAACUGACGAUAACUGUUCCUGGCUGACUGCAG